GAUCAUGGCUCAGGAUGAACGCUGGCGGCGUGCCUAACACGUGCAAGUCGAACGGAGUCGUUUUGGAAAUCUCUUCGGAGAUGGAAUUCUCGACUUAGUGGCGGACGGGUGAGUAACGCGUGGGUAACCUGCCCUGUACAGGGGGAUAACAGCUGGAAACGGCUGCUAAUACCGCAUAAGCCCUUAGCACUGCAUGGUGCAUAGGGAAAAGGAGCAAUCCGGUACAGGAUGGACCCGCGU
rnacentral:rRNA from 1 species